rnacentral:sRNA from 1 species
AUUGGUUGCGGUUCUAGUUCUUAUACUCAAUCAUAUAAAUGACAUCUACUCAUAUUUGACUCCAAAACACUAACCAAGCUUCUUAUUGCUUCUCAAAGCUUUGAUGGUGUAGCCGAACUCUAUAUGAGUCUUUUGCUUUGUAUCUUCUAACAAGGAGAUACUACUUAGGCUUUCAAGAUCU